rnacentral:rRNA from 1 species
GACAGAGGGUGCAAACGUUGUUCGGAAUUACUGGGCGUAAAGCGUGUGUAGGCGGCCAUGUAAGUCGGAUGUGAAAGCCCCGGGCUCAACCCGGGAAGUGCACUCGAUACUGCGUGGCUUGAGUAUCGGAGAGGUUGGUGGAAUUCUCGGUGUAGAGGUGAAAUUCGUAGAUAUCGAGAGGAACACCGGUGGCGAAGGCGGCCAACUGGACGAAUACUGACGCCGAGACACGAAAGCGUGGGGAGCAAACAGG